rnacentral:tRNA from 1 species
GGGGGCGUAGCUCAGUUGGGAGAGCAUCUGCCUUGCACGUAGAGGGUCAGCGGUUCGAGUCCGCUCGUCUCCA